GUUCGUAGUGACUGCGGAGGAUCACUAGUGAAACAUCGGGGAGCGUCUUAACUGACCUCCCCAACCCUUCACAAUCCACAUACACCUGUGCACAGUUUUGGCUUUUGAGCAAUCGAAAGCCAAUCAUUUUAUACAAACCCCUAGUUUAAUGAAUGUAACCGUUUUAUAUAAACAAAAUAAAACUUUCAACAACGGAUCUCUUGGUUCUCGCAUCGAUGAAGAACGCAGCGAAAUGCGAUAAGUAAUGUGAAUUGCAGAAUUCAGUGAAUCAUCGAAUCUUUGAACGCACCUUGCGCUCCUUGGUAUUCCGAGGAGCAUGCCUGUUUGAGUGUCAUGAAACUCUCAACCUCUGACUUUCUUAAUCGUCGGUCAGCGGCUUGGAUGUGGGCGCUGCCGGUCUUAAUUGAUCGGCUCGCCUGAAAAACAUUAGCGAAUCCCUUCUGUAAUCGGUUCCACUCGACGUGAUAAGUAUUUCGUCGAGGACAUCUUUAUUGAUGGCCGAGAUAAAGCUGGUUUAAGAUCUGCUUCUAACUCUUUCGUUGCCUUUUGGUAAAGAAAACCCCUCAUGAUCUGGCCUCAAAUCAGGUAGGACUACCCGCUGAACUUAAGCAUAUCAAUAAGCGGAGGAAAAGAAACUAACAAGGAUUCCCCUAGUAACGGCGAGUGAAGCGGGAUGAGCUCAAAUUUAAAAUCUGGCUGCCUCAGGUGGUCCGAGUUGUAGUCUCGAGAAGUGUUUUCCGCGUUGGCCUGUGUACAAGUCCUUUGGAAUAAGGCGUCAUAGAGGGUGAGAAUCCCGUCCUUGACACAGAUCCCCAAUGCUUUGUGAUGCGCUCUCAAAGAGUCGAGUUGUUUGGGAAUGCAGCUCAAAAUGGGUGGUAAAUUCCAUCUAAAGCUAAAUAUUGGCGAGAGACCGAUAGCGAACAAGUACCGUGAGGGAAAGAUGAAAAGCACUUUGGAAAGAGAGUUAAACAGUACGUGAAAUUGUUGAAAGGGAAACGAUUGAAGUCAGUCAUGCUCGUAGGGAUUCAACCGGUUCUGCCGGCCUAUUUCCCUACUUGCAGGCCAGCAUCAGUUUUGACCGGUGGAAAAGGUUGGAAGGGAAUGUGGCAUCCUCCGAAUGGGGUUAUAGCCCCUCUUUCGCAUACAUUCGGUUKGGAACUGAGGAACGCAA
rnacentral:rRNA from 1 species